AAAUAAAAAGGACAGUCCAUCCUCAGCCUGAUAACGACAGUAUAAAAGGAAGCUAGCAGCCUGGCAGAAACCAUCUGAGGUAUCAACACUACACAAGGCACAAUUUACCAGAGAUCGGUGUACAGACACGAGAAAACAUGAAGACUGUGAUUCUUGCUCUUCUGGUGUUGCUGGUUGUCAGCCACGGUGAAGCCUUGACGUGUUGGUGUGGAGGCUUGAGGAAAUGUGCAGGCCGUACAGAGGUCUGCUCUGGCUCCAAUGACGUCUGUGCCAGUGUCAGAUUUGCUCAAUACCCUGCGAACAAAAACAAUUUCUGGGGUUGCUACACUGAAAGUAACUGCAGGAAGCUAAAUUAUCCUGGUGUAGCAUCUUGCACGUCCUGCAGGACUGACCUGUGUCAGUGAUUACGCAUCACAUCUUUCAGUGACUGAAUAAUCUGAAUAAAUGUGCAUGUGUUGUGUACUUUUGCAUUAUCAUAAUAAAGAUCAGUUGCAACUUUUGUCCUA